rnacentral:rRNA from 1 species
UCAUCCGGUACAUUCAAUCUCUGUAUUUCUACAGAUUUAUUAUUCGCGGACAAAAGGAGUUUACAAUCCGAAGACCUUCGUCCUCCACGCGGCGUCGCUGGAUCGGGGUUUCCCCCAUUGUCCAAAAUUCCUC